AAAAAAAAAGAGUGUGGUGGGGUCUGCAAGCUGGUCAGAGAAUGCUAAUUGGUCCAGACACACUCUAGGAGAACAUAAAAUUUGGUCUCCAUCUUGAAGCAUAUAUAGCACUGAAUAGAUGGACAGAAAGACAGGUGCCACAAAAGCAGAAGGAAGAAGGCAGACUGAAGUCUAGUGUGCCUGCGGGACAGUGAGGGGCUGGAGUCGAGAGAGAGGGAGGAGAGGAAAAAACCAAGGCUGAAAAUUUGGAUGAAGCCAGACCCUGGAGGAUCUUCAGCAGUCAGGAGGAACAUGCAUGCAAAGCCAGAAAGAAGAUAGUUGAUGGUCAGGGUUUCAGGGCUUGCUGACCAAUGAAACCCUGGUCCUGUAAUUCUGUAAGCUCCAGACCAUUUCCUCCACAGCCACACCUACCAACCCAUCUAAAUUGACAGCCCCGGAGGCUGGGGGCACACGGAGGUCCCACUGCGCACUAUUCUGUGAGUCUGGAUUGAGUAGCACUGCCACGGGGUUCACCUAGCCCAACACAUUCAGGUCAUCCGGCCGCACACCCACAGUCCACCCUUUUCUCAUUCCUGCAGCCACCACCUCCAUGUUUCUGUGAGCUCCCCAACCCCAGGCCCUCCUCCCUGGCUCUCCAGGACGCCCCAGGCAAGGACUGGUUUGUCCAAGCUGGAAGAGCAAAGAGUGAAAGGGCCAGGGAGGAGGAGGCUGCUUUGGGGUCAGUAGGAGCUCACAUUGGCAGACUAGGACAUCAGAGAGGAACCCCUUUCUGCAGGACAGCAGAGACACAGUGAAUGGACAUCUGGGGCCAAAUUCCUCCAGCGCACGGGGACCCUGAGGGCACGAAAGCCAGAAAGAGGACCCCGCUGUGUCCCUGGCCUCCUACUGCACACUCCUGUGGCUUGAACAUCUCCAUCAGCUGUUGCUUUUUUUUACCUUGUACCUCACUUUACCCAUUUUAGCCUAAAAACAAGAACGUCUGCCCUCUUCCUUCUUAACCAAGACUGAGAUGAGGACAAGUCAGACCCUUCAGACCCAUCGUUUCAGGGACCAGCAGCUCCAGCCUGAAUGAGAAGCACGUCCUCCUGGGAGUUACGUCAGCAGCCUGACCUUCCAUCUUCCUCCUCUAAAGAAGCGUCCCUGCCACCCUGAGCACGAAGCCCUCGGGUUCCUAAAGGCCGAGGCGCUUCUUCUCAUUUACUUCCCUUGAGGAAGAAAGACCAGCCCAUCCACCCUCAUUUCCCACCGAAGGGCAUCGCAAAUAAAGUUUGCCCACGCAACCAGGCCACCACCAUUAAUUUCUCUCUGCCCUGCUCUUACAUUCUCCUCAAGGUUUUCAGUCCCCUAGAGAGGCUCCCUUCCCUCUUUUCUUUCCUUCCUCCAGCCCCCCUUUUCACCUCCCUCCACCAUUGUUUGAGGUUAAGAAGCAUGCUACGGUGUUCUAUAAAUCACUUGGCAAGAGUAGACGACAAAAGCAAAAUAUAAUUCAGAUUAAAGUCAUCCUCCCGCUGAAAUGAUAGUUUCU
rnacentral:lncRNA from 1 species